rnacentral:rRNA from 1 species
AUGCUCUUAAUGAUCCCAGCUCAUGAUUUAAUUGCCAUGUAUUUAGCUAUUGAGCUUCAAAGUUUAUGUUUUUAUGUGAUCGCAACAUCAAAAAGAAAGUCUGAAUUUUCCACGGAAGCCGGCUCAAAAUAUUUGAUCUUAGGUGCAUUUCCCUCUGGAAUAUUAUUGUUCGGGUGCGACCGGACUACUACCGAUCAAUUUUUGGAACUUAUUUAUAGACUUGUAGAGACCCUCUACGUAGUUGUAAUUCUAGGGCAAUCGAUCCACUUUCCCCAUAGCCCUAAGGCUGUGUCUCGAUCUCCUACGCGCGAAAGAUAA